rnacentral:snoRNA from 1 species
CCUGCCCUGAGAGACCUUGCAGGCAUGGCUGCUGUGUGACAUGUGUGUCAGUAGGUGUCAGAGAAGAGGGAGGCUAUGUCUAAGCUCAGUGUUCUGACCUGUGGACAUCUGAAUGAUUAGUAGCCAAAUGCU